GAUGUAAAUUAUUUUUUUUAUUUUUGUUUCCUCCUAGUUUGGUAGAAAAGCAGGCACAAAAUGGAUCUAAGCGGGAGGGUGACUAUUUUUGAGAGACAGAGAGUCCAGCGUGGCAUAUAUUUUCUUUCGCUAAUAACUCUGCCUGGGGUCGAUCUUUCUUUCCCCUCUGUGAGAGACGAAAGGCAGAGCUUCUACUAGCUGCCAAUUCACAGUGUCGAAUUCAUUGACCAUUCUUCACUCCCACUAAAUCAACGGCGAGAAAGGAAUUGAUUUUUUUUUAAGUACUUGUCUGUCUCCCUGGAACUCCUUCAUUUCUCCUCCAAAACUAAAACCAAUUUAGAGACUCUGUUUUUCUGGUUGUUUUGCUGAACAAUCAUCUCUCUUCCUCUCUGCCUCUCUUUUUACGUUCUUUUUGUUUUACCUCUCUAAAUCUACUCCCUUUUUUUUUUUUUUUUUUUUUUUGCCAUUUUCAUUAGACCAAGUUUCUGAAUUUUCUUUUCCUCUCCAUCUCUUAAACUGCUCCACUUUCACUCCUUUUCUAGUUUUAUCUUCUGCUUAUUUCUUUUCUGAAGCAGAACAGCGUUUUUCUUUUCAUCUGGGUUCCUCAAUUCCUGGUUCUUGGCUUGACCUUAUUGUUGCAGUUUAAAAAAACCCAUUUAAACAAUCUUCUCUUACUCUAUGAAAAAAUCCAGCUUUUCACAUUCUUUGCUAUUCCUGGUAAAUCUUCGGAGGUCUCGGAGAUCAAAGAUGAUUGACGGGUUUUUUAAGCCUAAAUUCUACGUCAAAUGCAAACAACAUAUUGAGACAACGAAAAUGAGACUGGAUGCGAUAAAGACGAAGAGGAAUGCAGUUGAGAAACAUUUGAGAAGUGAUAUUGCACAUCUUCUUGGGAAUGGCUUUAUUAUCAUUGCGUAUGGAAGGGCCGAGGGACUUCUGGUUGAGCAACAUAGGUCCUCCUGUUACGAAUUAAUUGAGAAUUUUUGUGAAACUAUCUCAAAUAAUCUCAAGUCCAUGCUAAAGCAGAGGGAAUGCCCAAAAGAAUGCAGGGAAGCUGUGCCAUCUUUGAUAUAUGCUGCAGCAUGAUUUGUUGAUCUGCCUGAACUACGAAACCUCAGAAAUUUAUUUGCUGAGAAAUAUGGAAAUUCCCUCGAUCGUUGGACAAAUGAAGAGUUUAUGGAGAUGUUGAGGCCAAAACAGACUACCAACGAGAUGGUGCUUCAGUUAAUGCAGGAAAUAGCAAAAGAAUUCUCAAUUGAAUGCUGUAUAACAGACACUGAUAAUGAUCUUAAAAUAACAUACGAAAGCAAGAAAGAUGCUUUUUCAAUAAGAAAAACUCAAGAUGAUCAUGGGAACAAAAAUAGCAACACAAAGGAGGAGGAUUAUAAUGAAUCAGAAGGAAGUGAAAGUGACAUUACAUCUUAUGGAAGCAAGGAUGUUCCUUUUGAUAUCUACAAGCAGCAGAGCAGUAGUAGUGAAGAUGAAACAACCAUAGACCUUUACCGAGAUGCUCCGAAUAGAUCUUUGAGUUUGAUGGGAAGUGCUUCCGAGGAUGAAGAGGAUACAAUGAGGCCCUUCUAUCACAGAUCUAUACCUUUCCCUUACCUCAAACCAAGAACUGAAACAACGGACAACAUUUUAGAGGAACCAAGUCCAACAAAACAGAGUGGUACUGAAGUUGAGAAGGAAACAACUGACCAAAAUUAUGAUUUAGUGGUAUAUAAUAAGCCAAAUCCUAGAUCGUUUAGGAGGAGAAACUUGAAACGGACACCGCGUGGUGACAUUGUCGAGAGGCAUGGGACUGAGACUGAGAUUGAUGGUGUUGCAAAAACAACUACAACAACAAGGCAGAGAAGCAGAACGGCUGAAUUAGCCAUUGAUCCUCUUCCUCCAGCUAGAGCAUCAUCCAUGCCAAUAGAGCCAACGGCUCCAUAUGAAGCAAAACAUGAUGGGUAUGCCCGAGCGAUUUCUCUUCAGCCGGUAAUGCUGAGAAUGGCCAGUCAUGUUCAUCCUAAGCUACCGGAAUAUGAUGAUCUGGUAGCUCGAAUUGCUUCUCUCAGAGGAACAUAGAAGCAUUAAAAAAGUUAAGCAUUGAGGGAAAAAAACAUUCUCUUAGGAACUCUAAUUACAUGUCAAAAAUAGGUUGAGUUAUUGUUUGGCAGCACUGCGGUUCCAAAUUUGAAAGCCCUUUUUUUUUUUUUAAAGAAAAAAAUUUGUAACCUGAAAACUAUUAUAUUGCCAGACAAUCAAAAUUUUGAUAAUAAAUUAUAUGAUAAUUUUUUAAUAGU